rnacentral:rRNA from 1 species
AUACGGAGGGUGCAAGCGUUAAUCGGAAUUACUGGGCGUCAAGCGCGCGUAGGCGGUUUAGUCAGUCAGAUGUGAAAGCCCCGGGCUCAACCUGGGAACUGCAUUUGAUACUGCUGAACUAGAGUAUGGUAGAGGGAAGUGGAAUUCCGGGUGUAGCGGUGAAAUGCGUAGAUAUCCGGAGGAACACCAGUGGCGAAGGCGACUUCCUGGACCAAUACUGACGCUGAGGUGCGAAAGCGUGGGUAGCAAACAGGAUUAGAAACCCUAGUAGUCC